AGAAUCAACGCUGGCGGCGUGCCUAACACAUGCAAGUCGAACGAGAAAGGGACUUCGGUCCUGAGUACAGUGGCGCACGGGUGAGUAACACGUGACUAACCUACCCUGGAGUGGGGAAUAACUGAGGGAACCUUAGCUAAUACCGCAUAAUACCUACGGGUCAAAGGAGCAAUUCGCUUCAGGAGGGGGUCGCGGCCGAUUAGCUAGUUGGCGGGGUAAUGGCCCACCAAGGCAAUGAUCGGUA
rnacentral:rRNA from 1 species